rnacentral:lncRNA from 1 species
UUUUUUUUUGGGUUAAAUGUUAAAUUUGGAUUAGAAAUUUACAAUCCAUUUGAAAAUGAGCAAAUAGACUAAUGAUUCUCACCUUUGUUGCAUUCUCACUAGAUCAGUUCAAACCCGAUUAAAAGAGACACGAAUAAUUUGUAUUGACGGAAAAAAAAAAAAAAGUUUAGAACCCAUUUUUGUUACCUCUCGGGAUCCCAUCAAAGUAUUCGUUCAUAUAUCUUCCACGUGACCGUCACAAUUUAUGAGUCUUUGGAGUGAUUUCUGAACCAUAAAAAGAUUACGAGAAAGUUCGAUGAAACAAACACAUAGC